GUCAGAGGAAAGCUGACAGAUUUUUCCCCCUUAAUGUAUGCUCUCUCUUCAUGUUCUUAAUUAUUUCCCUUGCUGUGUAGAAGCUUUUUAUUUGGAUGGCAUCCCACUUAUUUAAUCUUGGUUUUAUUUCUUGUACUUUGGGCAUCUUGUGAAGGAUGUUGGUUCCUGUAUCUAUAUGCUCUGAGUGUUGACCUAUGCUUUCUUCUAGCACUUUCAAGGGUUCUGAUCUAAAUCCUUAGACUUUCAACCAUUUUGAUAUGUCUUUUGUGCAGGUUGACAUACAGGCUAGUUUCAUUUCCUACAUAUGGAUAUCCAGUUUUCCCAGCACCAAUAAAAAGGCUGACUUUUCUCCAACAUAUCUUUCUUGCACCUUUGUCAAAGAUUAGAUAACUGAAUCUAAGUGGGUUUGUCUUUGUGGUUUCUAUUCUAUUCUAUUGAUCUUCAUAUUCCCUCCCCCCAAUACCAUGUGUUUUUUCCCCCCCUAUACCUCUGUAGUAUAAUUUGAGAUCAGGUCACAUGCCUCCCGCAUUGCUGUUCUUACUCAUGAUUGCUUUGGCUACUCUGGUUCUUGUAUUCUUCCAGAUGAAUUUAAUGACUUUUUCCCCCGCUGCUAGUUUUGUGAAGGUUGUCAUUCUCAUUUUAAUGGUGAUCACAUCAAAUCUGUAAACCAUUUUUGACAAAAUGGUCAUUUUGACAAUAUUAAUUCUGCCUACUCAUCUUCUAAGGUCUUCCUUUAACCCAGGGUCUGGUGAGUGCAGCCCUAUAUCACUGAGUCCUAUUGUGUAU
rnacentral:lncRNA from 1 species